rnacentral:rRNA from 1 species
UACGUAGGCAGCGAGCGUUGUCCGGAGUUACUGGGCGUAAAGCGCGCGCAGGCGCGGUGCUGGCCCGGCGUGAAAGCCCCCGGCUCAACCGGGGAGGGUCGUCGGGGACCGCACCGCGUUGAGGGCGGUAGGGGCUGGUGGAAUGCCUGGUGUAGUGGUGAAAUGCGUAGAGAUCAGGAGGAACACCGAUGGCGAAGGCAGGUCACUGGGCCGCAACUGACGCUGAGGCACGAAAGCGUGGGGAGCAAACGGG